rnacentral:lncRNA from 1 species
CAGGUGAGUAUUUCUAAAGAGUAGUACAUAAAGUAAUUAAAAUUCAAUUGCAAAAGAAAAAAAUAGGAAAUUGAUGGAAUUUUUUCCAUCAAGUUUUGAUUCUCCCAUGCGUUUUAUUUGUUGAGUGGACAAAGAGAGCCGCUCAAAAUUUUGUCCAAAAAUGAUUCUGAGCUCGUGGAUGUGAGAUCUUCAAGCCCAUAACCUGUACUAGAUUUGGAAUGAAAGAAAGUGAGUAUUUAAAACGUGUUAUAUGUUUAUGGCUACGUACUGAAGAUCUUAGAAUUGAAACGUGGGGAAUAUAAUCUAUAGCUACGCCAAAUAAGUUUGAUUUUCCUUUUUGUUUUUUUGGUCCUAUCAAAAGUUCUUCUUCCUAAACCCCUCAUCUACCCUAUGUCUUCCAUGAAUAAAAUUUUAAAAUGAUUAUUUUCCUUUUCUAAAGCUUAUUUUUCAGAUCUAUUAUUGAGCUAUAUAGUAUAUAUACUAAAGAAACCAUACUAAUAAUAAAGCAUAUAGUUUUUCGAGAAUUUAUUUCCCAUACAAGAAGCUUUUUUUGUUCAAGUAUUUUUUUUUCUUAAUGAUAAAGCACAUUUUGUAUUAUUUUCUAUUUUUAAGGAAAUUAUUUUUAAAACCAUUUUAUGCUUUAUUACAUUUUAAAAAAAAUGCGUUAUUACUUGAGUUUGACAACCUAAAAUAAAUCUUUAAGCUAAUAAUCAUCACAUUAAAGGUAAUCUUCGGAUGCUGAUUAACUUGUAUGAAGUGAUAACAAUGUCACUUCCACAAUUAUUAGAAAGAAAAUUAUGGUUAAAGAAGGGGGCAAAAGAAUAUGAUUACAUGUACUUCAUUCGUAUUCCAAUUAAACUAAGUAGAAAAGGACAGCGGUGAGACAAGGAUUCGGUCUUACAUAAUAGCAGUGGAUAUAGAACACGUUUUCAAAGAAAGCCAGAAAGAUAGAAGUUUCCUUUUUUAGAAGAACCGAUUUCAUUUUAGUCACAUGUCAAGCCCUUUAACUGCUAUCUCUAGUUUUGAAGAGAAGCUCCCACCUCCAAGUUGCUUAUGAAAUUGACAGCUACCUUAUGUUUUUGUUGGUAUUUAAAGACAAUGGGCCCCUUUUCCGUACAUUAGAAGUUUUAAUAGUAUAAUACUCUCUUUCGUUUCAAUUUAGAUGAGAUAGUUACACACGAUACGGAGUUUAAGAGAAAAGAGGAAGACUUUUAAAACUUGUGAUUGUAAAAGCUUAAGGGGUAAAAACUUUGUAGGCAUGACAUUUGUUUUAUUAUAAAAACUUCUCACUAAAGGUAAAAUAAGUAAAGUGAAAAGUUUAAAGUUGAAUUACUCCCUCUGUUUCAAUUUAUGUGAACAUGUUUGACUGGACACGGAGUUUAAGAAUAAAUGAAGAUUUUUGAAAUUUGUGGUCCUAAACAAUUAAAAAAGGACCCAGAGUAUUUGUGUGGUUAUAAAAACUUCUCAUUAAGGGUAGAAUUGUAAGUUUAAGCAAAAUUAUUUCCAAAUUUAGAAAGGGAUCAUUCUUUUUUGAACGGCCAAAAAGGAAAUAGGUUCACAUAAAUUGGAACGGAGGUAAUAUUUUCAGCUAUAGAAAUGUGUCAUUCUUUUUGGAACAGACUAAUAAAGAAAGUAUGUCAUCUAAAUUGAAACGGAGAAAGUACUCACAUGAUUAAUCCCAUUGGAUGCUUGUGAUCUCUCCACCGUUAGAUAUCUUGAAUUUGAGUGAUAAGAAUGAAGAUUUUCUUGAUAACUUGUGCUUUACCUUCUUGGCACAAAUCUAAACUAGUCAGAAUUAAUGGGCUUGGGAUACAAGAUAGUUAAACAUAACAAAAAAUAAUUAGUAGUAUGUGAAAACAAGAUCGCCAGUGUUUUAACACCAUGAUUGAAAAACUAGAAUCCUUUAAGAAAUUGCUAGCCUGUGUUAAGAUAUAUAUUGCAAUUAAAUAAUUAAAAUUAUGCUUUUUUUUAAAUAAUUUAUGUAAGUUAUUAUAUGUUGACAUGAGGUUAAGAUAACCACUUUGUUAGUACUUGUUUCUGCAUAUGCUUAAAGGACAAAACAGAAACAAAAAGAAGACACUAGCUAGCUUGGCCCACAAAAUAAAUCACUAGAUAUAUAAUGCAAGAAAUUUUACAAGGGUGACAAAUUGCAUUUUCAAAAGUGAUAGCAGACAAUUUUUGUUGUUGUUUAUUUAUUAAGUCAUCAGCUGCUAGUCAAAUCCUAACUGCCACAAAAGGGGCUUUAUUUCAUCAGUCAAGAAGUCGUUUAUCAAAUAUAUUUUCUUUUCCUCAAUUGCAAAGGAAAAGGUAUUCUUUUGAUGUGUGAAUGAGUAUAUACAAUUAAAUGUGACAAUCAUCAAAAUUGAUUUUUUCCAAAAAUUUCCUUUAAAUAUUGAACGAUAGUUUAUAUAAUGUAACACUAAAACUUACUAGUAUUAUAUUAUGUGGCUACUGAUAGUGUAACGUUACCAUAAAACUAGUUGGCGACGAUUAGGCAUUGCAAAGACUUUUGUAUUCUUCAUCAGCUUGGCAUCAUCUUCAGCUUACUCUAAUGUUUGAUGGUUUCUUUCAAUUUGUUACUUUUUUGGAGGCAUUGGUGACUCUACUUUUGGAGAAGUUGUAAGUGUAAUUGGAGUGGUGUCCUGUGGGGAGGAUUUCUCUAGUUUCAACGUUUUGUAAGUUGAGUUUCGUUUAAAUAAUAAAUAGGAGAAGGAGGCAAACGUGACUUUGAAUUUCAACCACAGAACAUGACAGGCAUUAUUUUUCAACCAUAAACGUGAUUGAAAUGCUUAUUUCAAUUAUGAAAAACCUUUAAUCUAACUUUGUGGGCCAUGAACAUAUUGACACUCUUACCAACAUCUUACGGGAAAAAAUUAAUACUUUAUAUUAUUUCUUUAUUGGAGUAGUAUGUUACUUAUAAAGUAAUUGAUCUAGCAGAUCUAGUAACCAUGUAUAUUUCAGUCUCAUGUUAAAGAUGUUACUAGAAUGUUACUGAAUAUUAAAGUGUUAACUAUAGGACCUUGUGUAUUAAUUUGUUCUUAAUACAUUACUUUUAUCUGUUCUUGAAGAUAAUUUCUCCUCCCUCAUGUCCAAUGAGCUUUUUCAUUAUGCUUUCUUUCAAGAUAUAGUUAGCAUAUAUCCUCUUUUUGCAUUGAUAAUAUAUAUUUAUGAAAGGAAACAGUUCUAGAGUUGUAAUACAUAGUGCAUGUCGAGGUCAGAUGCAAAUUUAGGACAGAUUCAACUGGAUCCAUUGCUUUCAGUUCGAAAACCAUGCACUAACUCGAAAUAUUGAAUCCGUUUUUGACAUAGGUGGUCAAAAAUUGCAAAGCAUUUGCCUGGAAGAACAGAUAAUGAGAUAAAGAACUAUUGGAGGACAAGGAUUCAGAAGCACAUAAAGC